rnacentral:RNase_P_RNA from 1 species
UGAGCCGACCGGGCGAUUGCGGCCACCCGAACCACCACUAGCACGGCGGUAAGCGGGUUGCCGAGGAAAGUCCGGACUCCACAGAGCACGGUGGUUGCUAACAGCAACCCAGGGUAACCUGCGGGAAAGUGCAACAGAAAGUAAACCGCCCGGCCCCCUGGGCCAGGUAAGGGUGAAACGGUGUGGUAAGAGCACACCAGCGAGGUAGGUGACUACCCCGGCUAUGUAAACCCCACCCGGAGCAAGGCAAGAAUAGUGUACUCGACUACCAAGCCAAGUACGCUUGGGCAAACGCUACUGGGCUGCUCGCCCAAAGUUUGCAGGUAGCCGCUUGAGGCUGUCAGCAAUGACACGCCCAGAUGGAUGAUCGCCACCGCACAAAACUGCGGCACAGAAUCCGGCUUACAGGUUGGCUCAAUUG